AUUGAACGCUGGCGGCAUGCCUUACACAUGCAAGUCGAACGGUAACGCGGGGGCAACCCUGGCGACGAGUGGCGAACGGGUGAGUAACGCAUCGGAACGUACCUAGUAGUGGGGGAUAGCUCGGCGAAAGCCGGAUUAAUACCGCAUACGCACCAAGGUGGAAAGCGGGGGACCGAAAGGCCUCGCGCUAUUGGAGCGGCCGAUGUCGGAUUAGCUUGUUGGUGGGGUAAAAGCCUACCAAGGCGACGAUCCGUAGCUGGUCUGAGAGGACGACCAGCCACACUGGGACUGAGACACGGCCCAGACUCCUACGGGAGGCUG
rnacentral:rRNA from 1 species